UUUUAUAUAUUUUUUUAUUAGAGAGAUAGGUAGCACGCUACCUGCUUCGUUUAUUUCAUAUAGAAAUAAACUUAUUUGAAAUGUGAAUCAACUAGGAUUCAAACUUGGGACCUAGGAUACCAACUAUCAACUUCAAAGUUAAGUACAGUGAAGGAUUAUUUUAUAGGAUAAACUUCAAAAAACCCCCUUGUGAUUUCACAUGCACUUUCUCACUUUAGUACCCUGUGGUUUAAAGUGUAUCAAGUUAGUCUUUGUGGUUUCGCACUUUCUCACUUUAGUACUCUGUGAUUUAAAAUGUAUCAAGUUAGUACCAUGUGGUUUCAUUUUUCUCUUUUUAUUAUCUAUUUUACUUUUUUUUUUUUCAUUAAAUUAGUGACAAAGUUAAAAUUAAAGUGUACUAAAGUGAAUAUUCAAUAAACCUAAGUAGAGUAUCUGAAGUUUUCUAUAUAUAAUUUAACGAUAUAUUAACUGAGAAAAAAAAAACAGUGACAAAAUUAAAACUAAAGGAUGCAAAAGUAAAUAUUCGCUAAACCUAGAUAGAUAUCUGAAGUUUUUUGUAUAUAAUUUAACGAAAUAUUAACAGAGAAGCCGAUGAAAAGAGAAAAAUGAAACCACAUGGUACUAAAUUGAUGCACUUUAAAUCACAGAGUACUAAAGUGAGAAAACGCGAAAUCACAGGGUACUAAAUUGAUACACUUUAAACCAAAGGGUAUUAAAGUAAAAAAAUGCGAAACUACAUAGGUGGUAUUUAAAGUUUUCCCUAUUUUAUAUAGGGGU
rnacentral:lncRNA from 1 species